rnacentral:lncRNA from 1 species
UGAGACCUUGUCUCACAAAAUAAAAGUUAAAAAGCCCUUAUCUGGAGGUGAGAAAGCCAAAUACAAAGGUCUUCUCAGUUGGUUCCCAGUCUUCCCAGUCCAGCAGCCUCAGCAUCACCAGGGAGCUGGUUAGGCAAAUUCUCGGCCGCCCCAACCUACUGAAUUGGAGACCCUGAAGAUGGGGCUAUCUGAAUUUUAACAAGGCCUCCAGGUUUGCAUGCUCAAGAUUGAGAACCACUGGCAAAAGCAAACAAUUUGAAUCUGAAGUCAGCCCACCUGCAUUUGAAUACAGGCCCUGCCACUUAAUAACUGUGAUUUAGAGCAAGUUAGUUACUUAACAGCUAGGUUGACCAAUUGUCCGAGUUUGCCUGGCACUGUCCUGAUUUCAGCACUGAAAGUACUACAUUAUCGCUGUGGCUCACGCCUAUAAUCCCAGCUUCUCAAGCUGUCCCUGUGGAAUCCUCAAUAUCGGUACAUUCAUCCCUAUCUAGCAUCCCCUUCCUCCCUCACCCAUCCUGCACCCUCAGAAUUCAUUCUCAGAUCACCUUCCCAGAUUUUUGCCAAUAUCAAUUAAAAAAAUUUUUUAGCCAACCAUGUACUGUGAGUAAGCCAAUAUCAAUUAGCAAAAUCUUUAAGUUUCUUUUGGUGAUUCAGUAUCUUCCCCCUGGAGUUUUUUGAUGAUUCAGUACCCUCCUAGAUUUGGCCCCUGGGGCCUGCGGGGAUGUGACUUGUCAUUUAAUUCUGGAGAAAAUGAGGGGUAGGGCUUAUAAGGAGACUCCUUCGGGGCAGGGUCAUUACAGGGUGUGUUACAUAGGGAAAUGCUAGCUGCUGGCUAGCUCUCGCUCUUGAAAGGCUCUUCCUCCCUCAACUGAAAUGGGGAAGGGGGAACCCCGGCCGACUGAGGUCCUGACAUCUUUAGCACAUGGCUUCUUAGGUCACCCAGGGCAUCCAGGUUACCAGCUUGGGAAACAGGAGAUGUAGGUUGGAGGAAGAGGCUACAGCCCACCCUGGAAAUAACUGCCAUCCGUCCCACCCAUAUGGUUAGGCUUUGUGUCCCCACCCAGAUCUCAUCUCGAAUUACAAUCCCCACGGGUUGAGGGAUGGACCAGGUGGAGG